rnacentral:lncRNA from 1 species
CCUCCUGCCCCUUCCCCACGUGUAAAUGCGUCACAGGCUCUUAGGGGACAGGCUGACCCCCAUGGCUCGAUCUUCCCAAACACUGUCGGGGGCAGGUCUGCCAGGAGUCCUUGCUGAGGCCCUGGGGAAGUUUCCUUUGCUUGGAACAAUUUGGGUAGAAGGUUUCAAAUGAACUGGAGUGAAAAAGCAGAAGAUGAAAACCUGGGCGUGCCCUUCACAAAUGGGAAGAGACACGCGGGCGCACGUCUGUGAGUGUGGGGGCUGGGCUCCGAGUGAGACUUGUUGCGGGAACACAGCACUCCUUGUUCGAGGGUUGGAUCUGACGGAUCCGGGGCCUAAACUGGGAGGCCCUUCACACGAGGCUGUGGUUUCCUUCCUGCCUCGCCAUGAAAAGACUAUUUUUGCCGAGCUGUGUAAGUCUGUGUGUACGCCGGGCACGCAUGGCUGUCGGAUGCCAAGCCCGAAUAGCUGUACUCACACAGCUCAGCGAGACAGCCGCCCAAACAAAGCCGCCCCCCGGGCCCUGGCCGCCGACAGAGGGAAGAGGGGACCACGCUGAGCCCCAGGAAAAUCAAUUUCUGUCUGAUCCCCCCAAACCGAACUCAUGGUCACAGAAGACACCGUGGUUGAUGAAGGCUGGAGCAGGGGUGGAAGGAAGGAGAGAAGGUGAUCUGAGGGCACAAGAGUCCAGAAAACGGAAAGGACAAAUGGCCUCGAAUCCCUCUCAGAAGCGGAUGGGCAACAUCUGGAGAAUACAGCCAGCUAGCCAGUGAGACCCUCAUCCACACCGUCCCCCCCACCAGCAGACCUACAUCCCCUCUGGACCCUGAGGCCUCAGGGGGCAGCAGGGGGUCUACGGCCCGGCUCAGAGAAAUGUUUUUGAUGCGUAAAGUAAAAACGUAGGAUCACAGCAACUGCACCACUGUUGUGGAAAUGUUUCUUUAAAAGCACAGUCAUGAGAUAG